CAGUCGCCGCGGUAAUACAGAGGGUGCGAGCGUUAAUCGGAUUUAAUGGGCGUAAAGCGUGCGUAGGCGGCUUCUUAAGUCGGAUGUGAAAUCCCUGAGCUUAACUUAGGAAUUGCAUUCGAUACUGGGAAGCUAGAGUAUGGGAGAGGAUGGUAGAAUUCCAGGUGUAGCGGUGAAAUGCGUAGAGAUCUGGAGGAAUACCGAUGGCGAAGGCAGCCAUCUGGCCUAAUACUGACGCUGAGGUACGAAAGCAUGGGGAGCAAACAGGAUUAGAUACCCCAGUAGUCCCUGUCUCUUAUAU
rnacentral:rRNA from 1 species